rnacentral:rRNA from 1 species
UACGUAGGGUGCAAGCGUUAAUCGGAAUUACUGGGCGUAAAGCGUGCGCAGGCGGUUAUAUAAGACAGUUGUGAAAUCCCCGGGCUCAACCUGGGAACUGCAUUUGUGACUGCAUCGCUGGAGUGCGGCAGAGGGGGAUGGAAUUCCGCGUGUAGCAGUGAAAUGCGUAGAUAUGCGGAGGAACACCGAUGGCGAAGGCAAUCCCCUGGGCCUGCACUGACGCUCAUGCACGAAAGCGUGGGGAGCAAACAGG